rnacentral:lncRNA from 15 species
UAAUCACAAAGUACGUACCGUACGGUACGCACAUCGACGAAAGCUCUUACGAAUUGCGAAGAACAUCAUUAUUGCCAUUAGAAACCACUAUCAACAUCAUUACUGGACGUGAACCGUUAAGGAAUACUUCUUCUAGGGGAAACAUUCGUGGAAUAUCACUGACAGGACAUACAAAAUGUCUGACACGGGGGAUACUCUAAGCGAUACGUCUGGUGACAUCACAGACAUGGAUGCAGAACCAGACAGUGAUGUAGAGCAGGACUUGGACCAGAUGCUGGGAACAUGGCUCGGGGAACUGGAAACAAUUACACAGUCAAUUGAUGCAGACAUACAUGUAGGUCAGCAGAGCCAACCAGCCCCUCUGCCUCCCCAUCAGUCAACCCUUGGCUCAUUAGACAACUUCAGCUUCUCAGCUUUCCAGCUAGCUCGUAAGUUUCUGUUCUUAAUAUAUAGGCUUCCUUU